UACGUAGGGUGCGAGCGUUGUCCGGAAUUAUUGGGCGUAAAGAGCUUGUAGGCGGUUUGUCGCGUCUGCUGUGAAAUUUCGGGGCUCAACCCCGAACUUGCAGUGGGUACGGGCAGACUAGAGUGUGGUAGGGGAGACUGGAAUGCCUGGUGUAGCGGUGAAAUGCGCAGAUAUCAGGAGGAACACCGAUGGCGAAGGCAGGUCUCUGGGCCACUACUGACGCUGAGAAGCGAAAGCAUGGGGAGCGAACAGG
rnacentral:rRNA from 1 species